rnacentral:lncRNA from 1 species
UACUGUGAUGCUUACCUGUGUGUGUGUGUGUGUGGGUGUGUGUGUGUGUGUGGUGUGUGUGUGUGGUGUGUGUGUGUGUGUGUGUGUGUGUGUGGGUGUUGCAGGCUGACAGUAGAGAGGCUGGAGAGGCAGUCUGCAGAGCUGAGACUGGCCCUACAGCAGGCCAUGGAGAACACACUCAACACACAGAGAGACAACCACACAACACAGGAACAAGUGAAGACAUUGGAGGAGGAGAACAACUCAUUGAUCAAUCAGGUGAGGACUUUGGAGGAGAAGUACAGCUCGUUGACCACUCAGCUGCUGAGGUCACAGAGCCGGGGCCAAGACGACAUCCAGCGGCUAGCCAAUCAGGAGGAGCGUCUGGUCGUACUGAGGACAGAGUCAGAGACGCUACAGGAGAAGUACAGCAGCAAGGUGCAGGAGCUGGAUACACUGCGGUUGGAGGUGGAAGGGGCGUACUCUGACAACGCGCACCUCCGCCAGGAGAGCCAGGUGGUCAUGGCCAACGUCAACCGCUGGGUCAAAGAGCAGAGGGUUGCCAGUGAGAGUCUAGCUGCUAAGAUCAGAGGUCAGAACAAGGUGCUGUUCAUCAUCAGUGAGGAGAAACAGGAGAGGGAGAGCUUUGUGACCACCAACCUGAGUCGGAUCCAGUACAUGCAGGUCAGACUGAGAAGCAACCUGGAGGCUAUAGGCUUGCUCAACAAACAGCUGAGUGCUCUGGGAGGAGAGAACGAGAGAUUGCGUCUGCAGCUGGAGGAGGAGAGAGCAGAGCGCAGACGAGUGAUACCGCCAACCAACAACCGGAGGGGUACCUCCCCCCUUCCCCUCUGCCUGACCCAUGGAUCUUCCUCCUCCCUUCCCUCCCUCUCCCCCUCUCUGGAUAGAGACACAGGAUACCCUCCCCCUGCCUCCCACCUUUCCCCCUCCCCUUUUCACUACCCCCCCAGCCACAGCCCCAGUCCCAGGCCAGGGGAGAAGGACACUGCCCUGACCCGAGCAGAGUUGAGCGUGGCUGGGCCGCGGGAGCCAGGCGAGGCCCAGGCUGUUAAUGAGGCCUACUGGGUGAGGAGGGUGGGAGAACUAUCAGUACAGUUGCAGGACAGAGAGCUCUACUGGUCAGGUAGGAUCAACCACCUCGCUACAGAGAUACGACAGACCAAGGACACUUCGCCCCUCACCUGACCUCCCGCUGACCUCUAAACCCUGUUCCCUGACCUCUAAUGCCUGACAUCUCCUCCUUGUUUGGCUGUUGUUUUGGAUGGGUUCAGUUAUGAAGCCAUAUCAUUGUCUCUGAUCACUGUAUGACUGUGUACCAUGUGCUACAAAUGUUGACAUUUACAUCUAUUUUGAGUUUGCGUGUCAUUUGUGGUUAGUGCCGUGUGUGUGUGUGUGUGUGUUCCUGUACUCGUACAGUGCCUUGUAACAUGGAGACUAUUGUAGUAAUAUUGAUAGUUAUUGUUGUCUCUCUGAGUUCCAGUUUGAUAAUAAAUCCACAUUUUUAAAAAAAAUCCCGUUUUAUGUUUAAAGUUGUCACUGAAAGCCAGAUAGUUGUCACUGAAAGCCAGAUAGUUGAGACUGUAGGCCAGAUAGUUGUCACUGUAGGCCAGAUAGUUGUCACUGAAGGUCAGAUAGUUGUCACUGUAGGUCAGAUAGUUGUCACUGAAGGCCAGAUAGUUGUCACUGUAGGCCAGAUAGUUGUCACUAUAGGCCAGAUAGUUGUCACUUUGUAGC